rnacentral:lncRNA from 1 species
CGCCACUACCUACACAACCCAGCAGCCCCGGCGUCAACACCAUCGGCCCCCAUCCUCCAAAAUCCCCAUUUCUCCUCCCCGCCGCGAAGCUCACAGCCGGCCAGACCCAAUUCAAACCGGCAUCGUCCUUCGUCUGCAACAGCCCAGCAGCCCAUACAGACGCUCACCUGUCGUCGAAGGACUCCCACCAAUAGCACAGACGCUCACCUGUCAUCGCUGCCUCCGCCUUGCAGUCACUGCCUCCAGAUUGCAGUCACCGGCCUGUUGCCCAGCAGCCACUUUGCUACCAAGCCCCACGCGCACAGCCCACCUCACCCUCGGCCCUCCCUUCCGCACCUACGCGGCCAGCACCCCGCCUCCACCAGCGCAGCACCCACACGCUGCUCCACCCGCGCUAC